ACUCAAAUUAGAGGAGGAACCGACGAGGACGCAGACACACAGGUGGCACUAAAUACACACGGGGUAAUUAGGGAAC